rnacentral:misc_RNA from 1 species
AAAAGCAAAAAGAAAAGAGGCAAAGUUAUCAAAUCAAAAACCCUACUUCCUCCCUUGUUGUUCUUCUUCUUCUUCAAAUCCGCCGUAAAUCUUUCUAAAACCAAAAAUCUAGAGUGAUGGCAAGCACUACUGUUGAACCCAAAUUGGAGAAGAAAGAAGAGGAAGUAGAAGCAGAAGUAGAAGAAAACCCAACUGGCGAUGAUGAAGACACUGGUGCACAAGUUGCUCCCAUUGUUAGGCUACAAGAAGUUGCUGUCUCCACUGGUGAAGAAAAUGAACAUGUUCUUCUUGAUCUGAAAUCAAAGUUAUACCGAUUUGACAAGGAAGGGAGUCAAUGGAAAGAGAGAGGUGUUGGGACUGUGAAGCUUCUCAAGCACAAGGAAACUGGAAAGGUUAGGCUUGUGAUGAGGCAAUCCAAGACGCUGAAAAUCUGUGCCAACCACUUGGUCCUUCCUACUAUGUCGAUCCAAGAACAUGCUGGGAAUGAGAAGUCUUGUGUGUGGCAUGCUGCUGACUUUGCUGAUGGAGAACUGAAAGAUGAGACUUUUUGCAUCCGCUUUGCUUCAGUUGAGAAUUGCAAGGCUUUCAAAGAGAAGGUUGAAGAAAUUGCUGAAUCUCAACAGACAAAGUCUGGACAAAGUGAAGAAGCUGGUGCUGCUGCUACUGAACUUAUUGAAAAGCUUAGUGUUGAAAGCAAAGAUAAAAAUGACAAACCUGAAGACAAAGAGGCCCCUGCAGCUACAGAGGAAAAGGAAGAUAAGAAGGAAGAGAAAGCUGAAGAAAAGAAUUAAAAUGUUUGUAUUGUCGGUCAGUUUUUUUUUUUUUUUAAGGUU